CGCGUGCAUAGUGAACUAAUGGGUACUCUGUCUUGCAGAAUUGAGUAAUGUCUGGACAGAAGUAUGCAUUGUGGGACAUAAAUGCCCUCCCAGUAACACCUUGACCCUUCUGUAAGUGAUGCUCAAGGCAUGCCUCACGAAAUCCCCACAUGUGCGGGUCUAAAAUAUAGAAUGCCACGUCAGUGGUGGACAUACAGACCUGGCCAUUGCAACUACCAUCAAAACUGGUGCAACUCUUCUUUAAACCACCACCAAAGGCUAGAACACUACGAUGCAUGCAAGGAACCCAAGUCUGAGCCAAAGCUAAUUUGUGAGUUUCACAAACCACUGUCAAUAUUUCCAAUAUUUC
rnacentral:misc_RNA from 1 species